rnacentral:rRNA from 2 species
AGAGUUUGAUCAUGGCUCAGGGCUAACGCUGGCGGCGUGUCUUAGCCAUGCAAGUCGAGCGGUCCUAUGGGGCGACCUAUAGGAUAGCGGCGGACGGCGGAGUAACACGUAGCUAACCUACCCUCCGGACGGGGAUAACCAUUCGAAAGGGUGGCUAAUACCCGAUGGAGUCAUCCGCAAGGGUGAUGAAAGGUGGGCCUCUGUUUACAAGCUCAUGCCGGGGGAGGGGGCUGCGGCCUAUCAGGUAGUUGGUGGGGUAAAGGCCCACCAAGCCUAUGACGGGUAGCCGGCCUGAGAGGGUGACCGGCCCGAGGGACACUGAGACACGGGUCCCACUCCUACGGGAGGCAGCAGGCUAGAAAUUUGGGCAAUGGGGGAAACCCUGACCCAGUGACGCCGCGUGCAGGAAGGAGCCCUUCGGGGUGUAAACUGCUGUCGUGCGGGGCGAAGGGUUUAUAGGCGAAUAGUCUAUAGACUUGACGGUACCGCAGGAGGAAGCCCAGGCUAACCUCGUGCCAGCAGCCGCGGUAAUACGGGGUGGGCGAGCGUUGCCCGGAAUUACUGGGUUUAAAGGGGGUGUAGGCGGUCUGGAUAGUCAGGUGUGUAAUCCAAUCGCUCAACGAUUGGACUGCAUCUGAUACUUUCAGGCUAGAGGGCGGUAGAGGAGAGCGGAACUCCCGGUGUAGCGGUGAAAUGCGUAGAUAUCGGGAGGAACGCCGGUGGCGAAGGCGGCUCUCUGGGCCGUUCCUGACGCUGAGGCCCGAAAGCUGGGGGAGCGAAAGGGAUUAGAUACCCCUGUAGUCCCAGCCGUAAACGAUGGGCACUAGGUGUGCCUCUAUAUAGGGGUGUGCCGACGGGAAACCAUUAAGUGCCCCACCUGGGGAGUACGCCCGCAAGGGUGAAACUCAAAUGAAUUGACGG